AAACAUAGCCUCUAGCAUUAAAUAUUAGAGGUCCCGCCUGCCCAGUGACACCAACCUGUUAAACGGCCGCGGUAUACUAACCGUGCAAAGGUAGCGUAAUCACUUGUCCCCUAAAUAGAGACUAGUAUGAACGGCUAAAUGAGGGCCUACCUGUCUCCUUUAACUAAUCAGUGAAAUUGAUCUACCAGUACAAAAGCUGGCAUAAACCCAUAAGACGAGAAGACCCUGUGGAGCUUUAAAUGAAAAUCAACCAUCACCAUGAACCACCAUUUUUAGUUGGGGCGACUACGGAAAAAAACAAAACUUCCAAGCAAUAACCCACCCAGACCCACACGUCCUCACCCGACCCAGUACCACUGAAUAACGAACCAAGUUACCCCAGGGAUAACAGCGCUAUCUUCUUUCAGAGUCCCCAUCGCCAAGAAGGUUUACGACCUCGAUGUUGGAUCAGGACACCCAAAUGGUGCAGCCACUAUUAAAGGUUCGUUUGUUCAACGAUUAAUGUCCUACGUGAU
rnacentral:rRNA from 1 species